GUCGCUCUCAAAUUUCGUCAGUUUACAGCUAGAUCAUUUCGUCUGAUCAAAGCUCGUAUGUUCUGCAGCAUCUUGAACAUAUUUCGCCUCGUUUGAUUCUGUAU